rnacentral:rRNA from 1 species
GAGAGUUUGAUCCUGGCUCAGAUUGAACGCUGGCGGAAUGCUUUACACAUGCAAGUCGAGCGGCAGCGCGGGGCAACCUGGCGGCGAGCGGCGAACGGGUGAGUAAUACAUCGGAACGUGCCCAGACGUGGGGGAUAACUACUCGAAAGAGUGGCUAAUACCGCAUACGAUCUAAGGAUGAAAGCGGGGGAUCGCAAGACCUCGCGCGUUUGGAGCGGCCGAUGGCAGAUUAGGUAGUUGGUGGGGUAAAGGCUUACCAAGCCCGCGAUCUGUAGCUGGUCUGAGAGGAUGAUCAGCCACACUGGGACUGAGACACGGCCCAGACUCCUACGGGAGGCAGCAGUGGGGAAUUUUGGACAAUGGGCGAAAGCCCUGAUCCAGCCAUUCCGCGUGCAGGAUGAAGGCCCUCGGGUUGUAAACUGCUUUUGUACAGAACGAAAAAGCUCUUUCUAAUACAGAGAGUCCAUGACGGUACUGUAAGAAUAAGCACCGGCUAACUACGUG